GUGAAAGCUUUCAAGCAAGAUUCGCAAGACAGUUAGAAAGAGAGGUAUUCCUUCAAAGAACCGUUAUCCCACAGGGUUUCUCCCGCUAAACUACUUUGAGUCCGCACUUCUAUCGUACAUUCUAAGACCGUGCCAGCCUAAAAUAAGAAGAGACUCCUCUACCAAGAGGUAAAGGUCAAGCGCUCCGUCCCUGCUGCUCUCAUUGCUGCGUCGAAAGGGGUAGGGAAGGUUGAAAGUGAAGCCGAAGGAAAGAAUCCGAGGGGAAGAGCCAGUGAUGGCCUACUGUACUUUAUCUCUACACCGAACCGAACCUUAGGGUUACUUCACUACCUUUCCAUCUUCAUUGACCGAGUAGCUGGACAAAGAACAAAGGAGGGGAU
rnacentral:misc_RNA from 1 species